GACGAACGCUGGCGGCGUGCCUAAUACAUGCAAGUAGAACGCUGAAGAGAGGAGCUUGCUCUUCUUGGAUGAGUUGCGAACGGGUGAGUAACGCGUAGGUAACCUGCCUUGUAGCGGGGGAUAACUAUUGGAAACGAUAGCUAAUACCGCAUAACAAUGGAUGACACAUGUCAUUUAUUUGAAAGGGGCAAUUGCUCCACUACAAGAUGGACCUGCGUUGUAUUAGCUAGCAGGUGAGGUAAUGGCUCACCUAGGCGACGAUACAUAGCCGACCUGGGCGGGUGAUCGGCCACACUGGGACUGAGACACGGCCCAGACGCCUAAGGGAGGCAGCAGUAGGGAAUCUGCGGCAAUGGGGGCAACCCUGACCGAGCAACGCCGCGUGAGUGAAGAAGGUUUUCGGAUCGGAAAGAUCUGUUGUAAGUCAAGAACGGGUGUGAGAGUGGAAAGUUCACACUGUGACGGUAGCUUACCAGAAAGGGACGGCUAACUACGUG
rnacentral:rRNA from 1 species